CCUACGGGAGGCAGCAGUGAGGAAUAUUGGUCAAUGGACGAGAGUCUGAACCAGCCAAGUAGCGUGAAGGAUGACUGCCCUAUGGGUUGUAAACUUCUUUUAUAUGGGAAUAAAAUGUUCCACGUGUGGGCUUUUGUAUGUACCAUAUGAAUAAGGAUCGGCUAACUCCGUGCCAGCAGCCGCGGUAAUACGGAGGAUCCGAGCGUUAUCCGGAUUUAUUGGGUUUAAAGGGAGCGUAGGUGGGUUGUUAAGUCAGUUGUGAAAGUUUGCGGCUCAACCGUAAAAUUGCAGUUGAAACUGGCAGUCUUGAGUACAGUAGAGGUAGGCGGAAUUCGUGGUGUAGCGGUGAAAUGCUUAGAUAUCACGAAGAACUCCGAUUGCGAAGGCAGCUCACUGGACUGCAACUGACACUGAGGCUCGAAAGUGUGGGUAUCAAACAGGAUUAGAUACCCUAGUAGUC
rnacentral:rRNA from 1 species